UUUCCUUCCAUAGUCAAAGUGCGGCAUGCCAUUUUGAGCAUUUGUAGUGCUGCUUUUAUUAUCGAGUCGGAAAAUAUCGCGUUAACGUCUGUUUCGUAAGUAAAUGCCAACAGUAUAUUGCAUUCGUAGUGUUUAAUCUCAAUAAUAGUUUCGGCGUAAGAGGGGACGUUACUGGGCUCCAGUCAUUUUAAACGCGUGAGCCUCACGUCUGUUGACGACGUCGCGUCCAUCGAACAAAGGAAACUUGACCGGGGUUGUUGCGACCAGCAUACAAAUAAGUCAAAGAUCAGCUAGUAUUUAUGUACAUUUUAGAAAGUUAAUCAAGUUUGACUCUAAACACCAAUUUUUGAGUCAAUUCAUUUUUUUGCCACUCAAUCUUUAACGGAAAAAAAGAGGAGGCUUUGGGCCUUGCUACGUUUAUUGGCUAACAAGCGUGGACGAAUUUUUUGGUGUAAUCAAAGAAUUCCCGUAAAAUGGCGGAAAUUUACAUUCGUGUAGCCGAAGAGGAGAAUGAGGAGCCCAUGGAGAUCCCAUCUGAGGACGACGGUACCGUUUUGCUCUCAACGGUGUCAGCUCAAUUUCCUGGGGCCUGCGGCCUCCGGUUCCGCAGCCCGGUGUCCCAGUGCAUGCGAGGCGUCCGCCUGGUGGAGGGGCUCCUCCACGCACCGGAGACUGGAUGGGGAAAUUUGGUCUAUGUGGUCAACUACCCCAAAGAUAACAAAAGAAAGAUGGAGGAAAUCGAUGCUUCGUCUGCCGUGAAGAUGAAGCGAGGUGACAUGAAGACAUCUGACUUGAUUGUUCUCGGCUUGCCAUGGAAAACAUCCGAACAGGAUUUGAAGGAUUACUUCGGUACUUUUGGAGAAGUAAUCAUGGUCCAGGUAAAACGUGAUGCCAAGACUGGAAACUCGAAAGGUUUUGGCUUUGUGAGAUUCACAGAAUAUGAAGUCCAAGAUAAGGUCGUCGCACAGCGACACAUGAUUGAUGGGAGAUGGUGUGACUGCAAACUCCCAAACUCAAAGCAAGGCCCUGAUGAGCCCAUGAGAUGCCGUAAGGUGUUUGUUGGUCGAUGCACAGAGGACAUGACCACCGACGACCUCCGGCAGUUCUUCAUACAGUAUGGUGAAGUGACUGAUGUCUUCAUCCCAAAGCCCUUCCGUGCUUUUGCAUUCGUCACCUUUGCAGAUGAUCAGGUGGCCGCCUCUCUUUGCGGAGAGGACCUUAUUGUUAAAGGGGUCAGCGUACAUAUUUCAAAUGCUGAGCCCAAACAUGGCAAUAGGAUGAACGACCGCGCAGGCCGUUUUGGGAACGGUUUUGGAGCUCAGAGCUUUGGGAGCAGUCGUAGUGGGUUGGGCGGCAGCAGCACGAAUAGCAAUCUAGCCAAUUUUGGUUCCUUUAGCUUAAGUCCAGCCAUGAUGGCUGCAGCACAGGCUGCCCUGCAGAGUAGCUGGGGGAUGAUGGGCAUGCUAGCUAGCCAACAAGGGCAGCCCUCAACCACAGGCAGCACCUCCACUGGUACAGCCUCCAGCCGGGACCAGAGUCAGACCUUUAGUACAGGCAACAGCAAUUAUGGCACUAGCUCAGCCAGCCUGGGCUGGGGCACCGGGUCAAACUCGACCACCAGUGGUAGUGGCUUUAGCACAGGAUUUGGGUCCGGUAUGGAAUCCAAGUCUUCUGGUUGGGGUAUGUAAAUUGAUGUUGUAUGGUAAGUAUUGUGAGAAAGAUGAGGGUUUCUAAGCCCAAAAUCAUUUCUGGUGUCGGCGUCUCUGAAAAAAAUACUUUGAAAUAUGUUUUGUACACUUGCAAAAUAUUUUAAUUUAGAAAUUGUGAAAGUGACCUGUUUCCCAGGAUGUAAGACUUAAGUGCUAUUUUUAUUGUCUUUGUUUAUUUGUAUUACAAUUUCAACUGGAUUCUCUAAUGCAUGCAUUGUGAAAUGUGAUAUGAUCCGUUUGGAAAAUGCAUGGGGUAGCAUUUGUGACUCACCAUUCACCUAGCUCUGUCAUCUUUGAAUGCAAUCUUGCAUUGGAAAGAAUCUGGUUGAAAUGCAAUUGUUUUAAGUGCAACUUUAUUUGCAGUAUGGUUGUAUUGGAAAAGCCUUCACUAAAAUUUCUUCUGCAGUUCACCUCUAUUCCAUUUUCCUGGGAGGAAGCUCCUCUUUGGCAGCAUUCUUGGGCUGAUCUCAGUAUCACUCACCCUCCUCCCACCUGUACAUGCUAUGCCAUCAAACAACGGCUUCACUCCGCAUGUUCUGAGAGACGGGACCUUGGGCUCCGCUGGUCGAGGUCUCCGUCUGAACCUGACUGGAUUGUGUUCUGAGGGACGAAGAUCGAAGUUUCUACACUUUCAUUGUGUGGCCAUCUCAGACAUGAUGUGGGGUCUUGCCUGCCUUUUUGCUGUUUGAUAGUAUAAACUUUUUGAGUUAUCAAGUAUACACGGUAGGUUGUGUAGUAAUGUUAGAAUUGACAUUUAGAAAGUGGCAUUGGCGAUAUGAGGUAAGUAUCAUGAGCCACGCAUAUAUGGACAAUUGAAUACAAAAAUCAAUUUAUUACAAUAAUACAAUUUUCUUACAAAGCCAAGUUAAUUGUUUUGAAGUGGACAACGACGGGCAGAAGUGAUGGUAGCGAGCAGAGGGUUUGCCAUUGCUUGGCAUGUGUUCAAUAUUUAGAGAUCUGGUGCAGCAUUGCUGUCUUGGUCCUUGUUAUCCUUCCCAGUGCUUUUCCUCAAAUGUUUUGGCUCCUUUAUCAAUAAAUCAUUCUUCUUUUGUAUGAAUUUGGCCUGGAACAAAUAAAUGACAUGUUAAACAAAAAAAAGCAGUCUACUGUAAAAUACUUGCCACUUAUUGUAUAAUCAUGGAUGUCCCCCUUAUCCGGCCAGCAAUAUUGAGUUUCAUUAAAAUAUAUAUAUGAGCGACAGUAUAAGACGUCACUGCUUGCUUUGGCUGCACAUUACAGUUGCAAGCUAUAUGUAAUAGUUCAAAAUGUUGUCUUGAAUGUUUGGAUAUCAUGGAAAGUACUCGCCAGUGCCGUGCUUCUUCGAGCCAAGAGCUUUACAUCGUCUGACGUCACGGUGCUUCUCUUGGCAUGCCUCCAAUUCCAGAAAAAGAAAAUCGACAUUAAAUUAAACAGUCAAAAGGGACCCCAGGUGAGCAGUUUCAAAAUAUGACUUGGUGAGACCGGUGUGAUUGUCUGCCUGGGCUAUAUGUAAGAUGGAUAGAGAAGACAGGGUAAGAUGUUAGACUGAUAUAUCUAGCCUGGAAGUAGUGGCUUUUAUUUGCUAAUCACAAUCACACUUGAUACAUAGGGGCCAUUUCGAUGCAAGCACUGGAUUCUAUUGUGUGUGGCAACCACUACCACCCACAAAUUAACACAAUAUUCUAGAUUGGUAGCUUGGAAGUUUGUUACACUUCGUCGAAAUAUGUGACAGUUCAAAAUGCCUACACUGAUCAGGGACAUGAUUGGGUAUUACCUGGCAAAGGCUUCCAAGUCUUUUGCAAAUACAUCUGAAAAUGAAAUAUCCAAAUAUAAGGCAUUUGUGCACAAGUCAUAUCGUUUGACAUGUGUUAAGUUGAAUUCACCAUUAAAAUGCAAUUUUAAAUGACGGUCGAACAAAAAUUAACAGACCACACUGUCUGAAUGUUGUUUCGGCUAUGGCUGCUAUCGCUUGUGGACUGAACUCCUUGCCCUGAUUUCUUCCAAUGUCUAGACACAUCCGUCCCGUCGUGUAGUGUACAGCUGCCCGUAGCCUCUGAAAGGUAAAAAGGAAGGACGUUCAUUGGUGUUUUCCAGUGUCAUUUCAUUCAUGUUACCUCGCUGUAACGUUAUAGCAUAUCAUUUAUAAAUUGCCGUUAGCCUCCAUGUUUUUACCAGAUUUAUGUCAUCGUCGUUGGCCAUUCUUGCGUAAAGUUUGAACGGACCAAAUGUAUCGCUGAAGACUAAACGUGUCAGGUAGGUCCACUUGUAUUUUUAAGGUGGGAGAAUGUUAAACUAUUCAGUGCAUCUCAGCAACUUUCAGUCGGAGAAAGGUUAA